CGUACACUCCUGCGGGAGGCAGCAGUGAGGAAUAUUGGACAAUGGGUGGAAGCCUGAUCCAGCCAUCCCGCGUGCAGGAAGACGGCCCUAUGGGUUGUAAACUGCUUUUAUCUGGGGAUAAACCUACUUACGUGUAAGUAGCUGAAGGUACCAGAAGAAUAAGCACCGGCUAACUCCGUGCCAGCAGCCGCGGUAAUACGGAGGGUGCAAGCGUUAUCCGGAUUUAUUGGGUUUAAAGGGUCCGUAGGCGGACUGAUAAGUCAGUGGUGAAAUCCGACAGCUUAACUGUCGAACUGCCAUUGAUACUGUUAGUCUUGAGUAAGGUUGAAGUGGCUGGAAUAAGUAGUGUAGCGGUGAAAUGCAUAGAUAUUACUUAGAACACCAAUUGCGAAGGCAGGUCACUAAGUCUUAACUGACGCUGAUGGACGAAAGCGUGGGGAGCGAACAGGAUUAGAAACCCGUGUAGUCCCAUGAU
rnacentral:rRNA from 1 species